rnacentral:hammerhead_ribozyme from 1 species
AUCUAGCUGAUGAGUUCAAACUAGGACGAAACACGUGUUCUGGAU